rnacentral:tRNA from 1 species
GGGAAUGUAGUUCAGUUGGUAGAAUGCUUGCUUAGUAAGCACAAGGCCCUGAGUUCAACUCCCAGCACUACAU